GUCUCCCCGGAAAAGGCAAUAGAGAAAGCACGAGCAGCUCGGGAAGGAGCGAGCGGGCGGCAACACCUUCCUCUUCCUCCCCCACUCAUUUAAUGGCGGCCACAGCUUGGUUGGCGCCAUCGUCUACCUCCAUCAAUGCCUCCAUCCACCUCCCCCAUCUCGUACAGUCCUACUUAACACAAGCCCCCGCGGUCGGGGCCGUUGCAUCCAUGACCCAUCCACCCACCGCCACCUCCACCUCAUCACUUAUCCACCCCCGGCCUCACCGCCAGGCCAGCUCCGCCUCCGCGGCUCUCGAGCUGGACGGUGGGUGGACACGUUUAAGGCCGCGGCUUUGCCGUUGCUCUGCUUUUGCUUUACCCGCUUCGAUCGAUCUGCUUUACUCUUAUCCUUGCUCCUCUGAGCGCGGGGUUCUCGGUGUUGCGUUUGAUUUCGCGUUCCACGGUUCUGUGGUUGUAGGUGGUGGUGGAUGACCAGCUCUCGGAAUUCCUCCGGCGGGAUUGGGGUCUUGUUAGGUUCGUGUUUGGUGAGCGAUUUUCGCGCGUUGUUGGGUGACGCGAGCGUCGGGCCUUAAGGUGUUCGACUAAUUGCCGAGGAGAGCAGAGCACACACAAACAUUUUUCAGCAUUUUUUUGGUUCGCCGCUGGAUUUAUUUCCCUAUUGCCUAUUGGUUUGCGUGAGGGGGAGAUGGUGGGGAGCGUGCACGUCAAUGGAUCGCUGAACGGCGCCAAUGGCACCGAGGAGCGGCUGGACGAGCUGCGGCGGCUGCUCGGCAAGUCCGAGGGCGACUUGCUGAAGAUCGUCAGCGUUGGCGCCGGCGCCUGGGGCAGCGUCUUUGCUGCUCUUCUGCAGGACGCCUAUGGCCAUUUCAGGGAGAAGGUGCAGAUACGGGUCUGGCGCCGGCCGGGGCGGGCGGUCGACCGGUCCACCGCGGAGCAUCUCUUCGAGGUGAUCAACUCGAGGGAGGACGUGCUGAGGCGCCUGAUCCGCCGGUGCGCCUACUUGAAGUACGUCGAGGCGCGGCUUGGGGACCGGACCUUGUACGCCGAUGAGAUUUUGAGGGAUGGGCUGUGUUUGAACAUGGUCGACACGCCACUGUGCCCGUUGAAGGUGGUCACUAACCUGCAGGAAGCUGUCUGGGAUGCUGACAUUGUGGUGAAUGGGCUGCCUUCCACCGAGACACGGGAGGUGUUCGAGGAGAUCAGCAAGUAUUGGAAGGAGCGGAUCGCUGUCCCGGUGAUCAUUUCCCUUGCAAAGGGGAUAGAAGCCUCCUUGGGCCCAAUUCCUCGUAUCGUCACGCCUACACAGAUGAUCAGUUCGGCAACUGGAGUUCCAACUGAGAAUAUACUCUAUCUUGGAGGCCCAAACAUUGCCUCGGAAAUUUAUAACAAAGAAUAUGCAAAUGCUCGAAUCUGUGGAUCCAACAAGUGGAGGAAACCGCUUGCUAAGUUUUUGAGGCAACCGCAUUUCAUUGUGUGGGAUAACAGUGACCUUAUCACUCAUGAGGUGAUGGGUGGCCUGAAGAACGUAUACGCUAUUGGCGCCGGAAUGGUGGCAGCUUUAACAAACGAAAGUGCAACAAGCAAAUCUGUGUAUUUUGCUCACUGCACAUCAGAGAUGAUAUUCAUCACUCAUCUACUGACAGAACAGCCAGAGAAACUUGCUGGCCCUCUGCUGGCUGAUACUUACGUAACCCUCCUAAAAGGUCGCAAUGCAUGGUACGGGCAAAUGCUAGCGAAGGGGGAACUCAGUCCCGAUAUGGGUGACAGUAUCAAGGGAAAGGGGAUGAUUCAGGGUAUUUCUGCUGUUGGCGCAUUUUUUGAGCUGCUCAGUCAACCCAGCUUAAGUGUACAACACCCAGAGGAAAACAAGCAAGUUGCUCCUGCUGAACUGUGCCCAAUUCUGAAGAGGCUUUAUAGAAUCCUAAUAAAACGGUUUGUGCUCUGCAUUAAAAUUAUGGAUAUGGAAAUCUGCAUACUUUGACUAUGUACAGAGUGCAACGUAGUUCAACCGAAAAUUCAGCCUCUUCUCUCCUCACCAGUCCACUGCUGCUUCUUGCCAGCCUAACCAGACAUCAGCAGAACUGCUAACAAGAGAUUGGUAUACAUGAAUUUAAUGUAGCUCCAGCAGUCUACGAGCAUAGAGCUGACAUGCAUUCUCGCAGGAGGGCAUGUCGUUUCCUUUGCGUACGCAGUGCCAGAGAAAUCCUGUUUUGGAGCUCCCGGUAAGAGACAUUCUCCAAGCCCUGAGAGACGAAACGAUGAACGACCCUCGUGAAAGGAUCGAGAUGGCACAAAGUCAUGCGUUCUACCGGCCGUCUCUGCUUGGAAAGCCAUGACCUUUGUUAGUCCUGUACA